UAUCUUCGGGUGCGAGUACAGUGGCGGACGGGUGAGUAAUACAUAGGAAUCUACCCAAUGGAGGGGGAUAGCUCGAGGAAACUCGAAUUAAUACCGCAUAAUCUCCACGGAGUAAAGAGGGCUUCGGCUCUCGCCAUCGGAUGAGCCUAUGCAAGAUUAGCUUGUUGGUAAGGUAAUGGCUUACCAAGGCUACGAUCUUUAGCUGGUUUGAGAGGACGACCAGCCACAUCGGGACUGAGACACGGCCCGGACUUCUACGGAAGGCAGCAGUAGGGAAUAUUGGACAAUGAGCGAAAGCUUGAUCCAGCUAUGCCGCGUGUGCGAUGAAGACCUUAGGGUUGUAAAGCACUUUAGGUUAUGAGAAAAGAUUUGGUAUUAAUACCACCAAAUUUUGAUGUUGAUUUCAGAAUAAGCACCGGCUAAAUCCGUGCCAGCAGCCGCGGUAAUACGGAUGGUGCAAGCGUUAAUCGGAAUUACUGGGCGUAAAGCGCGCGUAGGUGGCCUAUCAAGUUAGAUGUGAAAUCCCGGGGCUUAACCUCGGAACUGCAUCUAAAACUGAUAAGCUAGAGUACUAGAGAGGAAAGUAGAAUUCUUAGUGUAGCGGUGGAAUGCGUAGAUAUUAAGAGGAAUACCAAUGGCGAAGGCAACUU
rnacentral:rRNA from 1 species